rnacentral:lncRNA from 1 species
CGUCACAGCAAGAUCAACACUUGGCCCCAGGCUUCCAGGAGCAUUGUGAGGAGGACAGACCCAGCCAGGGAGGGGACUUCCUGCCACAGGUGCCUGACUGAGACCCAAAGAUUGUCCAGGCUCAAUGUGUAUGUGCAUAGCGGGCAGAUGAAUAAGAAACAACCAUCACGGUGUGAUAGCCCUGGCAGAGCCAGUGUAGAAACUCCAGAAUGCUGAGCCACCAUGAGGUGAGCAGCUUUCCUCUACCAUGUCCUUCCGCCAUGAUGUUCCUGCCUUGGACCCAGCUGACUAUGAACUGAACCCUCUGAAACUUUCUUCCACUAAUGUUCCUGGUUCUCUAGCCUCCUCGUGCCUCCCCAGUUCAUUGGAGGUUUGUCGUAGGAUUGAUCAACUAACUGGCUUCUCAUGGCUCGUUCCUGACUGAGGACCUGGUGCUGAGUGAUGC